UCCCCUGUGGUGUAAUUGGCAACACGGGUCACUUUGGAUGAUUUGUUCCAGGUUCGAGUCCUGGCAGGGGAGCCA
rnacentral:tRNA from 1 species